AACGGCGGCCGUAACUAUAACGGUCCUAAGGUAGCGAAAUUCCUUGUCAGGUAAGUUCUGACCCGCAUGAAAGGCGUAAUGAUUUGGGCACUGUCUCAACAGCCCGCCCGGCGAAAUUGUAGUACCGGUGAAGAUGCCGGUUACCCGCGACAAGACGGAAAGACCCCAUGGAGCUUUACUGUAGCCUAAUAUUGGGUUUCGAUGUUGCAUGCACAGGAUAGAUGGGACACAGGGAAACAAUCGCUUUGGCGGUUGCGGAGUGGCCGUUGGGAUACCAUCCUUGCGAUAUUGGAAUUCUAACCUGCGGCUCUGAAUCGAGUCGGGGGACAUUGUUAGGUGGGCAGUUUGACUGGGGCGGUCGCCUCCUAAAAAGUAACGGAGGCGUUCAAAGGUUCGCUCAGCUUGAACGGAAAUCAAGCAAAAGAGUGCAAACGCAGAAGCGAGCCUAACUGCGAGACUGACGGGUCGAGCAGUAACGAAAGUUGGAGUUAGUGAUCCGGUGGUAUGUGAGUGGAAAUGCCAUCGCUCAACGGAUAAAAGUUACCCUGGGGAUAACAGGCUGAUCUCCCCCAAGAGUCCACAUCGACGGGGAGGUUUGGCACCUCGAUGUCGGCUCAUCGCAUCCUGGGGCUGAAGUAGGUCCCAAGGGUUGGGCUGUUCGCCCAUUAAAGCGGUACGCGAGCUGGGUUCAGAACGUCGUGAGACAGUUCGGUCCCUAUCUGUCGUGGGCGCAGGAUAUUUGAUGGGAGCUGUCCCUAGUACGAGAGGACCGGGACGGACGUACCUCUGGCGCACCAGUUGUUCCGCCAGGAGCAUAGCUGGGCAACUACGUACGGAUCGGAUAAACGCUGAAAGCAUCUAAGCGUGAAGCCGACCCAAAGAUAAGAUGUCCCAUUGUUUUAAACAAGUAAGACCCCUUGAAGACUACAAGGUUGAUAGGCACGAUGUGUAAGUGGAGCGAUCCAUUCAGCAAGCGUGUACUAAUAGGUCGAGGGCUUGACCAC
rnacentral:rRNA from 1 species